GCCUGCUCUCUGUCGGCUCCUAAACACACACACACACACCGGUAGCAGAGCAAGAGGCUGCGCCGUCGCAGUGGAAUAACGUUACGGCAUUGCUUGACAAGGAGACAGAAAAGCAUCUGAAAGCGCCAGUGUUUCCCCUCGUCUGCGUCUCUAAUCUCCACGCUGAGAGGAAAGCGGUGCUUGGCAGCAGACGUUCUCAGGCACUGUUCAAAGGGUGGCGCCGGGGUUUGAAGUCUUGCUGAUUGCCAGGGUCGGGCCCGCCAAAAGAGCCACAGCGGUAUCUUCAAGAGCAGCAGAGAUGGAGGCGCGGCCGCCGUGUCUGGGCGGAGGCCGACACAAUCACCCACCCUUUGGGGGGAGCCAUCGCAGUGCUUCAGAGGAGCCAUUUGAAUGGCUCGCCUCUUUCAAGACAUGAAAGGUGAAGCUAGAUCAUGUUGUCCUCGCUGCAGCUUCUCCACAUGUCGAAACGGCAAACACCGUUUUGUUGUUAUUAUUUCUGUGGCUCUGCACUGACCUGCAUAAAAUAUUACAUAUGCCAGACAGAAAUUCUCUGUUGGGAGAUUGAGAAUAGAGUAGGACUGAUAAAUCUGUGAGCGCACACAUCAUGCCAAUAUGUUACUUUUAUUAAAAACUCAGUUUCCCACACCUCCGUUAUGAAAGUCCGUCUCUGACCACAGCUAGUGAAUAUUAUUUUGUUAUGAUUAUUAUUUUAUAUCACAUAUAUGACUUUAAAAGUCCUGCUAGUGUGGUGUGGGUGUACUGUGUUUACUGAGAGUAUAAACCCUGGAGAAAACCCUUUAUCAGCCUGCGUUAAGGAGCUGCUACCCGAGCCCAGCUUUCAGUGGAGACUUCAGUUUUCCACAUUUAAAAAUGCUGAUUCAUAAAAUAUGACAAAAACAAAACAAAAGCAAACACACUAGACCAGUCCUGGGUAUAAUACAAGUAUAAAACAAUGCAAGGUCAAAGCAUAUUUAAACAAAAAUGUUGCUGGCAACUUUGAUAUUUAAAAAAAAAAAAAAAUUAAAGAAGGAAUGAUUUGGAUUUGGCCCCGUAUUUAUUUCCUCUAAUGAAUAUGUUGGGAAAAGAUGUAUGUAACAGUAAGCCUGUGUUAAAGCUUGUGUUAUGUGUAUGUAUUUGUAUCUCUAAAGCACUGACCAGUACACUUGUUCAAGCCCAGCAACUAUAGCCCAGAUGUAAUAGUCCAUUAACUAGGCUUCUUCUUUACUUGUUCUUGUUUGUCUCUUUGUUUGUUUGUUUUUUUAAUAUACAGUAUUUCUGUUAAUAAGUAGGCUACUACUGUAAAAUUUAUGGCAAAACUACUUUAUUUCACUGGAAGUUUAAUAAUAUAAUGUGCCUCUGACAUUUUCUUAUGUUUUUAUAAGCAGAAAUUAUUGUUAGUAUCUGAAUAUGUGUUCAGACACUGAAGGUGGCAGAUUUCAGAUGUGGCCUUCAGUAGAAAAUCAUUGUUGACCCCGG